rnacentral:rRNA from 1 species
GACGUAGGGCGCGAGCGUUGUCCGGAUUUAUUGGGCGUAAAGAGCUCGUAGGCGGCUUGUCGCGUCGUUCGUGAAAACCUGCAGCUCAACUGCAGGCUUGCGGGCGAUACGGGCAGGCUAGAGUUCGGUAGGGGAGACUGGAAUUCCUGGUGUAGCGGUGAAAUGCGCAGAUAUCGUAAGGAAGACCAGUGGCGAAGGCAGCUCUCUGGGACGGUACUGACGCUGAGACGCGAAAGCGUGGGGAGCGAACAGG